rnacentral:rRNA from 1 species
AUUGAACGCUGGCGGCAGGCCUAACACAUGCAAGUCGAACGAGUGGCGGACGGGUGAGUAAUGUCUGGGAAACUGCCCGAUGGAGGGGGAUAACUACUGGAAACGGUAGCUAAUACCGCAUACCAUCGGAUGUGCCCAGAUGGGAUGAGCUAGUAGGUGGGGUAACGGCUCACCUAGGCGACGAUCCCUAGCUGGUCUGAGAGGAUGACCAGCCACACUGGAACGAAGACCCGGCCCAUACUCUUACGGGAGGCAGCAUUGGGGAAUAUUGCACAAUGGGCGCAAGCCUGAUGCAGCCAUGCCGCGUGUAUGAAGAAGGCCUUCGGUUUGUAAAGUACUUUCAGCGAGGAGGCGUUACUCGCAGAAGAAGCACCGGCUAACUCCGUGCCAGCAGCCGCGGUAUAC